rnacentral:rRNA from 1 species
UACGGAGGAUCCAAGCGUUAUCCGGAAUCAUUGGGUUUAAAGGGUCCGUAGGCGGUUUGGUAAGUCAGUGGUGAAAGCCCAUCGCUCAACGGUGGAACGGCCAUUGAUACUGCUGAACUUGAAUUAUUAGGAAGUAACUAGAAUAUGUAGUGUAGCGGUGAAAUGCUUAGAGAUUACAUGGAAUACCAAUUGCGAAGGCAGGUUACUACUAAUGGAUUGACGCUGGUGUGACGAAAGCGUGGGUAGCGAACAGG